rnacentral:tRNA from 1 species
GCCGGCGUGGUGGAAUUGGUAGACACAGCAGACUUAAAAUCUGCUGACCCGCGUGGUCGUACCGGUUCAAGUCCGGUCGCCGGUA